AUUGAACGCUGGCGGCAGGCCUAACACAUGCAAGUCGAACGACCGGCGCCCGGGUGAGUAACACGUAUCCAACCUGCCCUUUACUCGGGGAUAGCCUUUCGAAAGAAAGAUUAAUACCCGAUAUAAAGGAUGGGGAUGCGUUCCAUUAGGUUGUUGUUGAGUUAACGGCCCACCAAGACUUCGAUGUAUAGGGGUUCUGCAAGGAAGGUCCCCCAGAUUGGAACUGAGACCCGGUCCAAACUCCUAGGGGAGGCAGCAGUGAGGAAUAUUGGUCAAUGGGCGUUAGCCUGAACCAGCCAAGUAGCGUGAAGGAUGAAGGCUUAUGGGUCGUAAACUUCUUUUAUAUAAGAAUAUGUAUUAUAUGAAUAAGGAUCGGCUAACUCCGUGCCAGCAGCCGCGGUAAUUC
rnacentral:rRNA from 1 species